rnacentral:rRNA from 1 species
AUUGAACGCUGGCGGCAUGCCUUACACAUGCAAGUCGAACGGCAGCGGACCUUCGGGUGCCGGCGAGUGGCGAACGGGUGAGUAAUGUAUCGGAACGUACCUUUCAGUGGGGGAUAACGUAGCGAAAGUUACGCUAAUACCGCAUAUUCUGUGAGCAGGAAAGCAGGGGAUCGCAAGACCUUGCGCUGAUUGAGCGGCCGAUAUCAGAUUAGCUAGUUGGUGAGGUAAAGGGUCACCAAGGCGACGAUGUGUAGCGGGUCUGAGAGGAUGAUCCGCCAGACUGGAACUGAGACACGGUCCAGACUCCUACGGGAGGCAGCAGUGGGGAAUUUUGGACAAUGGGCGCAAGCCUGAUCCAGCCAUGCCGCGUGAGUGAAGAAGGCCUUCGGGUUGUAAAGCUCGUUCGGCCGGGAAGAAAUCGCAUGGGUUAAUACCCUGUGCGGAUGACGGUACCGGCAUAAGAAGCACCGGCUAACUACGUGCCAGCCGCCGCGGUAAGAC